rnacentral:lncRNA from 1 species
AAAUAAAAAAUCCCCAAGCAAAGACCUCCAACUGGAAAUAUUUCCUGAAUGAUCUCACUGAGAAUCCCCAUGUGAUGAUGAGAUAGAAAAGACUGAGACCUGCCAAAACAAAUCCUCGUUGAAAGCCUGCUUGGAGCUUUAGAAAUGAUUUGAAGAACUUAUCUGAGUUGAAUUAGCUUGCUUAAUCACAGCGACACUUUGGCUG